AUUGAACGCUGGCGGCAGGCCUAACACAUGCAAGUCGCACGAGUGGCGGACGGGUGAGUAAUGUCUGGGAAACUGCCUGAUGGAGGGGGAUAACUACUGGAAACGGUAGCUAAUACCGCAUCCCAUCAGAUGUUCCCAGAUGGGAUUAGCUUGUGGGUGGGGUAACGGCUCACCAAGGCGACGAUCCCUAGCUGGGCUGAGAGGAUUACCGUCCACCCUGGACCUGAGACACUGUCCAGACUCCUACGGGAGGCAGCAGUGGGUAAUAUUGCACAAUGGGCGUAAGCCUGAUGCUGCCAUGCCGCGUGUAUGAAGAAGGCCUUCGGGUUGUAAAGUACUUUCAGCGGGGAGGCGUUACCCGCAGAAGAAGCACCGGCUAACUCCGUGCCAGCAGCCGCGGUAAUAC
rnacentral:rRNA from 1 species